rnacentral:rRNA from 1 species
AUGCCUGGCCGUAAAACAUUUACUUACACCAUAAACCGCCCGGGAAUUACGAGCACAUGCUUAAAACCCAAAGGACUUGACGGUGUCCCACCCACCUAGAGGAGCCUGUUCUAUAAUCGAUUCUCCCCGAUACACCUUACCACUUCUAGCUAAACAGUCUGUAUACCUCCGUCGCAAGCUUACCAUGUGAACGAAACUAGUGAGCCAAAAGAUUAACCAUCAAUACGUCAGGUCAAGGUGCAGCUCACGAAGCGGAAAGAAAUGGGCUACAAUUUCUAACUUAGAACAAACGAAAGGCCACAUGAAAAACAGCCAUGAAGGCGGAUUUAGUAGUAAAAAGAAAAUAGAGUGUUCUUUUUAAUAAGGCCCUGGGACGCGUACACA